rnacentral:rRNA from 1 species
AAUAAAUUAAGGGCCGCGAUUCGCCCUUCUUGGUCUUUAGAGGAAGUAAAAGUCGUAACAAGGUUUCCGUAGGUGAACCUGCGGAAGGAUCAUUAUCGAAAUUAUUGGUGAGGGUUGUAGCUGGCCUUUCGAGGCAUGUGCACGCUCGAGCCCUUAAUCCACUUUACACCUGUGCACUUAAUGUAGGUCGCCCUUAAAAAAGGUGACCUAUGUCUUAUCAUCAACCCAUCGUAUGUCUCAUAAAAUGUAAUCGAUAUCCUCGCCCUAAAAAAGCGUUGAUAAACUUAUACAACUUUCAACAACGGAUCUCUUGGCUCUCGCAUCUAUGAAAAACGCAGCGAAAUGCUAUAAGUAAUGUGAAUUGCAGAUUUUCAGUGAAUCAUCAAAUCUUUGAACGCACCUUGCGCUCCUUGGUAUUCCGAGGAGCAUGCCUGUUUGAGUGUCAUUAAAUUCUCAACUCCAAGGGUUUCACGACCUUUCGGAAAUUGGACUUGGAGGUGCUGGCCGCAUAUUGGUCGGCUCCUCUCUAAUGCAUCCGCGGAAUUCAACCUUUGGUUUCCGGAUGGAAGUGUGAUAAUCAUGUUGCGCUGACUUUUGAUCCCUCAGAGUCCGCUUAUAAUGGACUUCGGACAAAAUCAUCAUCAUAUUUGACCUCAAAUCAUGUAGGACUACCCGCUGAACUUAAGCUUAUCA